AAGCACUCGCGAAUUAUUUGAAAUUUGAACAAAAAUACAGACCACAGUCGUACAGAUUUCUCAUAGUUCUAUUCAUACAUAUUAUUACAUAAUCGCCAUGCAUAAAUGUAUUGUUUUUAGUAAAACAUAUGAAGUAUCGCCUAUCCACAUUAUGUUAGUUUUAAUUUGUUUCCAAAAAAUGAAAAUACAAGGAAAUAAUGGCUAAACAUGUUCGAAUUAAAUGAUUAUCCCAAUUUCUAUUUGGUAUAGUAUCCGCCGAUUAUUUCACAAUUAGUGAUUGUAAACAAUGCUCUCAAAACAUAAUCCAAACCAUAUGUCUGGGAUAGAGUAGUAAAAUAAAUUUUAGUAAUUUACAGCAUCAUUAGUACUACUCUGAGAACGACUAGUAAAUUGCAUCUUAGAGCGAUGAGUUUGAAGAAAAUGAACAGACAAAUAAAGAAUUUGGAGACGUUAAAGUUGAUGAAUUUAAU